ACUCAAGAAAAGAAUCUUAGUCCAACCUAAAGCUAAUCCAUAAAAUCUACUACUACUUUAGAGCAAUUCAAAUAAGGUACAGCCUAUUUGACACAGGACACAACCUCAAACAACGGCUAACUCACAAAUACUUAAACUAAGUAGGCUUGAAAGCAGCCACCUUAAAAAAGCGUCAUAGCUUAAUUUUCCUUAUUCCAAAUCCCACAACUUACUAAGAACCCUUCAUCCGUACUGAGUACUUCUAUACUUCUAUAGAAAUUUUUAUGUUAAAACUAGUAACAAGAAGACACUUCUCUUUUAAUGCAAACAUAAAUCAGUACGGAAUAUCCACUGAUACUUACACACCCCGGUAGCAAACUUACACACUCGAAAAACCUGCCUUUAUUCUCGUUAACCUAACACAAGAGCAUUUCAAGAAAGAUUUUCAAAAAAAGAAGGAACUCGGCAAAUAUUGAUUCCGCCUGUUUACCAAAAACAUCGCCUCUUGAAUAAACAUAAGAGGUCCGACCUGCCCAGUGAUAUUAAUUCAACGGCCGCGGUAUUUUGACCGCGCUAAGGUAGCACAAUCACUUGUCUCUUAAAUGGGGACUAGUAUGAAAGGACCCACGAGAAUCUAACUGUCUCCUUUCUUUAAUCCGUGAAACUAAUCUCCCUGUGAAAAAGCAGGGAUCAUUAUAUAAGACGAGAAGACCCUAUGGAGCUUUAGAUAAAGCAAUACUUUCUUUUUCUAAAUCACUUUCAGAAGAAUACCCCCAAGACAUCUUGUUGCCAAUCUUCGGUUGGGGCGACCACGGAGUAAAACUAAUCCUCCACGCCGAAUGGAAUUUUCCAUAACAAAGAGCUACAGCUCUACGAACCAAAAAAUUGACAAUUGACCCAAUAUUUGAUCAACGAAACAAGUUACCCUAGGGAUAACAGCGCAAUCUACUUCAAGAGUCCCUAUUGACAAGUGGGUUUACGACCUCGAUGUUGGAUCAGGGUGUCCAAGUGGUGCAGCCGCUACUAAAGGUUUGUGUGUUCAACAAUUAAAACCCUACGUGAUCUGAGU
rnacentral:rRNA from 1 species